rnacentral:tRNA from 1 species
GGGAUGGCGGAAUUGGUAAACGCACUAGAUUAGAGAUCUAGCGAAAUAGACACUCAAAAUGUCUUUUUUAACUGCACAGGUUCGAAUCCUGUUCCC